UACAGAGGGCGCAAGCGUUGUUCGGAAUUAUUGGGCGUAAAGCGCGUGUAGGCGGCUUUGCAAGUCGGGUGUGAAAGCCCUCAGCUCAACUGAGGAAGUGCGCCCGAAACUGCAGAGCUUGAGUGCCGGAGAGGGUGGCGGAAUUCCCCAAGCAGAGGUGAAAUUCGUAGAUAUGGGGAGGAACACCGGUGGCGAAGGCGGCCACCUGGACGGUAACUGACGCUGAGACGCGAAAGCGUGGGGAGCAAACAGG
rnacentral:rRNA from 1 species